UGAAAAGAGACUCGUUGAAGAGAGGAUUAGGAAUAUUGAGGACCGUUUCUUAUCAGCAUGUAAAUUACGGCCAGUCGUCGGUAAUUUUCUUAUUUCAAUUUCGACCUUCAGGAUGAGAUAGCUGUGGUCAAAGGCAUUUUAAAUAAUGUGGAAGCUCUCGCCCGAGAUUUGUAUGUCCAUCACAAAGAAACAGAAAUGUGAUUGAGGGACGGUGCGAGCCAAAGGUGUCUCUAGAAUAAGUGUGAGCUUUGGCAAGUGAAGUGCCUUAUUUGCAGCUGCAGUGGGAGACGGAGCUGGGGAUUGAAGCACAAGCCUUGUGAUUUACAGUUGGUAAUCUGCCACUGCCGCACUAACACUCCACAAAAAUGAACAUUAAAGGAGCAUGUCCAGUGAUUUCAAGAAAUACAGAGAAAUUUUGCAGAUCCUUUGGAUGAAAUUAGAUUCUGGGUUGGAUUCACUUAACCCAAUAAACAGAAGGUCACAGUAAGCAUUUUGUUACAGAAUCUUCAGUCGCUGCCUACACACCAAGCUUAAAAAGUGAAUGCUUUACGACGACUCCAGCUGGCUUAUACGUGGUAAAAAACAAAUUGAAGACUGCAGAGACUUCUUCAUUGGCAUCAUGAGGUGUGAACAGAAGAUAAAUAUUCGAUGGAGAAUACACAUGACAGCCUGCUUGGAGGGACGGGAGGUGCCUGUGAUCACAAGGACAGCUGACAGGAUUUUCAUCUUGAGCUCCGCAACUGUGCAAGCAGUAAAAUGUUUAGAUCGACAUUUGAAUGGUGAAAGCUCUGUUUGAAGAUGCAAGACUGCUACUCCUUCUGUAUUUUGAUAGGAAUCGGAGGAAACAUUUUUUUGAGAGACACUUUUGAAAGCAGUUGUUUUUGAAUUUAAUUAAUGAGAAAAGCAGUUUGUAUCUUCCUUCCAUUUUUUGAGAUUUAGAUUGAUGUGCAGAACUGAGAGGAAGAUGAAAGGGUCAAGCAGGCCUGUCACUUUAUAAGAAACUCAUUAAAUAUGUGGAAAUAACAAGCAAGUAACUCAGUUAGCCAUAGCUGAUGAGGAGUUUAAUAUCUGAACACCAAAGUGCAUGAAUCAGGCUUCAUCUGGAAUAAUAAUGUGGGGAAAAUAAACGUCGGUGACUAAAUA